AUGGAACACAUCCGGCAGCUUGUCACACUUUGGGCUCGGCUGAGGGCCAUCCCCCUGGCGAUGGACGCCGAGGACACCAUCACCUGGAAGCAUACCGGCAGCGGAAUCUACUCCGCCACAUCCGCGUACAGUGCGCAACUCCUUGGGUUGGUCAGCUCGCCCAUGGGCUUCGCCGUUUGGAAAGCAUGCCCCCCCCCUAAGAUGAAAUUCUUUGCUUGGCUGGCAAUUCAUUGUUGGGGAUCGUAG
rnacentral:rRNA from 1 species